AUUAGUGGCCAUUGCUUGGGUGUGGCUAUAAAAGCCUGGAAGUGUGCAAUAUCUGGAGAUUGUGAAUCGCUACCUCCUGUGCAGAGUGGCUUCCUGUUUCUUCCGCGCCUGGUGUUGUGAUCAUCUCCUCCUUCGCUGACCUCGAGAACGGUGGUUCACUCUAGUUCCAGUGAGGACGCACGUUCCCGCGGCAGCCUGUGUCUCCGAGUAACGCAUUGUGCUAUCCUGGAGGGGGGCUAGUCACCUGGUGGUGGAGUCCCGUCAGUGCAUAUUCACGCGUGAUCAUUGGUUGCUGUGUGGUUGCUGUGUCACUCUGGUCACUUUUCGUGUGCCGUGUUUGCCUUCACAAGGGUGGUG